UCUUUAGCCGCUAAAUCCCCCAAUUUUUAAUGGUGACCUCGGAUCAGAGAGGUCAA
rnacentral:rRNA from 1 species